GACGGAGGGCGCUAGCGUUGUUCGGAAUCACUGGGCGUAAAGGGCGCGUAGGCGGCCAUGUAAGUCGGGGGUGAAAGCCCGGAGCUCAACCCCGGAACGGCCUUCGAGACUGCGUGGCUGGAGACCGGAAGAGGAGGGUGGAAUACCCAGUGUAGAGGUGAAAUUCGUAGAUAUUGGGUGGAACACCAGUGGCGAAAGCGGCUCUCUGGUCCGGAUCUGACGCUGAGGCGCGAAAGCGUGGGGAGCAAACAGG
rnacentral:rRNA from 1 species